rnacentral:rRNA from 1 species
GGACGAACGCUGGCGGCGUGCUUAACACAUGCAAGUCGAGCGGUAAGGCCCUUUCGGGGGUACACGAGCGGCGAACGGGUGAGUAACACGUGGGUGACCUGCCCUCGGCUCUGGGAUAAGCCUGGGAAACCGGGUCUAAUACCGGAUAUGACUCCAUGACGCAUGUUGUGGGGUGGAAAGCCUUGUGCGGCUGAGGAUGGGCCCGCGGCCUAUCAGCUUGUUGGUGGGGUGAUGGCCUACCAAGGCGACGACGGGUAGCCGGCCUGAGAGGACGACCAGCCACACUGGGACUGAGACACGGCCCAGACUCCUACGGGAGGCAGCAGUGGGGAAUCUUGCGCAAUGGGCGAAAGCCUGACGCAGCAACGCCGCGUGGGGA